rnacentral:rRNA from 1 species
CGGACGGGUGAGUAACGCGUGGGUAACCUGCCUCAUACAGGGGGAUAACAGUUAGAAAUGACUGCUAAUACCGCAUAAGCGCACGGGACUGCAUGGUCUUGUGUGAAAAACUCCGGUGGUAUGAGAUGGACCCGCGUCUGAUUAGCUUGUUGGUGAGGUAGCGGCCCACCAAGGCGACGAUCAGUAGCCGGCCUGAGAGGGUGAACGGCCACAUUGGGACUGAGACACGGCCCAAACUCCUACGGAAGGCAGCAG